AAUAGAUACCCAGGUAGUCCACGCCGUAAACGAUGAAUACUAGGUGUGGGGGUUGUCAUGACCUCCGUGCCGCCGCUAACGCAUUAAGUAUUCCGCCUGGGGAGUACGGUCGCAAGAUUAAAACUCAAAGGAAUUGACGGGGGCCCGCACAAGCAGCGGAGCAUGUGGUUUAAUUCGAAGCAACGCGAAGAACCUUACCUAGACUUGACAUCUCCUGAAUUACUCUGUAAUGGAGGAAGCCCUUCGGGGCAGGAUGACAGGUGGUGCAUGGUUGUCGUCAGCUCGUGUCGUGAGAUGUUGGGUUAAGUCCCGCAACGAGCGCAACCCUUAUUGUUAGUUGCUACCAUUAAGUUGAGCACUCUAGCGAGACUGCCCGGGUUAACCGGGAGGAAGGUGGGGAUGACGUCAAAUCAUCAUGCCCCUUAUGUCUAGGGCUACACACGUGCUACAAUGGCUGGUACAGAGAGAUGCUAAACCGUGAGGUGGAGCCAAACUUUAAAACCAGUCUCAGUUCGGAUUGUAGGCUGAAACUCGCCUAC
rnacentral:rRNA from 1 species